rnacentral:rRNA from 1 species
UACAGAGGGUGCGAGCGUUGUCCGGAAUCACUGGGCUUAAAGGGCGCGUAGGCGGGCGAUCAAGUCAGGGGUGAAAGCCCCCAGCUCAACUGGGGAAGUGCCUCUGAUACUGGUCGCCUCGAGGGAGGUAGGGGCGUGCGGAACUUCCGGUGGAGCGGUGAAAUGCGUAGAUAUCGGAAGGAACAUCGGUGGCGAAAGCGGCGCGCUGGACCUCUUCUGACGCUGAGGCGCGAAAGCCAGGGGAGCGAACGGG